UCAGAUUGAACGCUGGCGGCAGGCCUAACACAUGCAAGUCGAGCGGCAGCACGGGUACUUGUACCUGGUGGCGAGCGGCGGACGGGUGAGUAAUGCCUAGGAAUCUGCCUGGUAGUGGGGGAUAACGCUCGGAAACGGACGCUAAUACCGCAUACGUCCUACGGGAGAAAGCAGGGGACCUUCGGGCCUUGCGCUAUCAGAUGAGCCUAGGUCGGAUUAGCUAGUUGGUGAGGUAAUGGCUCACCAAGGCGACGAUCCGUAACUGGUCUGAGAGGAUGAUCAGUCACACUGGAACUGAGACACGGUCCAGACUCCUACGGGAGGCAGCAGUGGGGAAUAUUGGACAAUGGGCGAAAGCCUGAUCCAGCCAUGCCGCGUGUGUGAAGAAGGUCUUCGGAUUGUAAAGCACUUUAAGUUGGGAGGAAGGGCAGUUACCUAAUACGUGWUUGUUUUGACGUUACCGACAGAAUAAGCACCGGCUAACUCUGUGCCAGCAGCCGCGGUAAUACAGAGGGUGCAAGCGUUAAUCGGAAUUACUGGGCGUAAAGCGCGCGUAGGUGGUUUGUUAAGUUGAAUGUGAAAUCCCCGGGCUCAACCUGGGAACUGCAUCCAAAACUGGCAAGCUAGAGUAUGGUAGAGGGUGGUGGAAUUUCCUGUGUAGCGGUGAAAUGCGUAGAUAUAGGAAGGAACACCAGUGGCGAAGGCGACCACC
rnacentral:rRNA from 1 species